AUUGAACGCUAGCGGGAUGCCUUACACAUGCAAGUCGAACGAGUGGCGGACGGGUGAGUAAUGUAUGGGAAACUGCCAAGUAGCGGGGGAUAACUACUGGACACGGUAGCUAAUACCGAAUACUAUCGGAUGUGCCCAGAUGGGAUUAGCUAGUUGGUGGGGGAAAGGCUCACCAAGGCGACGAUCCCUAGCUGGUCUGAGAGGAGGACCAGCCACACUGGAACUGAGACACGGUCCAGACUCCUACGGGAGGCAGCAGUGGGGAAUAUUGCACAAUGGGCGCAAGCCUGAUGCAGCCAUGCCGCGUGUAUGAAGAAGGCCUUCGGGUUGUAAAGUACUUUUAGCAGAGAGGCGGUACCCGCAGAAGAAGCACCGGCUAACUCCGUGCCAGCAGCCGCGGUAAUUC
rnacentral:rRNA from 1 species